CACGGGUGAGUAACGCGUAUGCAACUUGCCUAUCAGAGGGGGAUAACCCGGCGAAAGUCGGACUAAUACCGCAUGAAGCAGGGAUCCCGCAUGGGAAUAUUUGCUAAAGAUUCAUCGCUGAUAGAUAGGCAUGCGUUCCAUUAGGCAGUUGGCGGGGUAACGGCCCACCAAACCGACGAUGGAUAGGGGUUCUGAGAGGAAGGUCCCCCACAUUGGAACUGAGACACGGUCCAA
rnacentral:rRNA from 1 species